GGGGGUAUAGCUCAGUGGCAGAGCGCCCGACUGCAGAUCGGAUGGUCCUUGGUUCAAAUCCGAGUGCCCCCU